rnacentral:rRNA from 1 species
AUUGAACGCUGGCGGCAUGCUUUACACAUGCAAGUCGAACGGUAACAGGCCUUCGGGUGCUGACGAGUGGCGAACGGGUGAGUAAUGCAUCGGAACGUGCCCAAUCGUGGGGGAUAACGUAGCGAAAGUUACGCUAAUACCGCAUAAGCCCUGAGGGGGAAAGUGGGGGACCGCAAGGCCUCACGCGAAUGGAGCGGCCGAUGUCAGAUUAGCUAGUUGGUGGGGUAAAGGCCCACCAAGGCGACGAUCUGUAGCGGGUCUGAGAGGAUGAUCCGCCACACUGGGACUGAGACACGGCCCAGACUCCUACGGAGGCAGCAGUGGGGAAUUUUGGACAAUGGGCGCAAGCCUGAUCCAGCCAUGCCGCGUGCGGGACGAAGGCC